UGUUCUUCCUGGAGUGUAUUGGCCAGUCGUCGGAUGUCAAUGAUUGUUUAUGGUGUGUUUAUGUUAAUGAUUUUAAGAGUUUUCACAGUUUAUCCCCCACAAUGCGUACAUGUAGGUUUUUAAAACGGAGUCAGUCACAACGGUCAGUAUCAAACCAUAUAGUUGUGUUAGUGUCUGUGAGGUAUAAGUGAAUCUUCAUUCUCAAAUUCCUUUUUUUCCGGCAAGUUUUGUUAUUUUGAAACAUAAUCGUACUUCAAGAGAAGAUGGCUGUCUAUCUUAAAAGUAAGUAUGUUUUAUUAUCUUGUAUUAUUAUUAUUAAGAACAUUUAUUUAUAAGUGAGUCACGGCUCUGAUGCAAUGCUUAAACAGGAUCUCUAAUGCUCCAGGUGCUGUGGAUGAUGUAGACUUUUCCGACAUUGUUGAGGAAAUUAAAUUCCUGAACCAUGCAAGUGGGCUGAAUCCGGAGCAUAGUUCAACAUCAAAGCAUGCGUCUCCUUAGACAGUACAAACAUCCCGCUGCUCAAAGAUUUAUCAAACCUAGUAAACAAGAUUGGCUCGUCUGGAAGUGAAAAUCACAUUGUGAGGGCUAGCGGCCGUGGCGUUGCAACAAAGCCGAAAAGACUCAAACGUAAAGCACGCUCCGGAUAAUGGGGGUGUGAGAGAUCUUGAUUUCAUACCACAGACACCAGAACGGAAACAGUCAAGACGUUCGCUCGGAGCAUCAGCUGAGUUGGUUGUGGAUGACCAUGCGGUACCCGAUGUAAAUGAUGUUCGGAGCUGGGGUAAUGGACUGAUAGAACCGUGGGACGCCUGUGCAUUUUCCCAGUUACCUAAAGAAACACAACGGGAUGAUCAAUCCAAUGAACGCGUUGUGUCUGGGACAGAUUCCGACCCUGAGGCUCUGCCUUCAAAUCAGUAGGCUUACAGAUGGGGAUCACAUCCCGUUAUAGACAAUCAACACAUAAUCAGACUGAUACAGGACAGUUUCAAGACCAUUGAGGGACGUUUUAACGCCAUUAAUAGGCGUUGUAACAUCGUUGAGGAGUGCUUGGAUACCUUUGAG